rnacentral:rRNA from 1 species
CUCAAUGAAAAUUCAAUAGCCGCAAUUUUGUGCUAAGGUAGCAUAAUCAUUUGUUUUUUAAUUAAAAACUAGAACGAAAGAUUUAACAUUUCAAUUUCUUUCUCAUAUAUAUAAACUUAACUUAUUCUAAAUAUAAAAAAAUAUUUUUUAAAUAAAAAGACGACAAGACCCUAUUGAACUUAACUAAAGUUUAACUGGGGUAGUUAAUUAAAUACAAUUUUAAUUCAAAUUUUUAAAAAAUCUAAUAUAAUUAAAUAAUAAGUUACCAUAGGGAUAACAGCGUAAUAAUUUUCACAAGAUCUUAUUCAAAAACUUGUUUACGACCUCGAUGUUGAAUUAAUAUUCCAUUAAAUGCAAAAAUUUAAUAAUGAAAGUCUGUUCGACUU